rnacentral:rRNA from 1 species
CCCUUAGAUGUUCUGGGCCGCACGCGUGCUACACUGAGUGGAUCAGCGGGUCAGGUUGCGCGAAAGCGUUUCCUAAUCUUUAAAUCCGCUCGUGAUGGGGAUUGACGGUUGCAAUUUUCUGUCAUGAACGAGGAAUACCUUGUAAGCGCGGGUCAUCAUCCCGCGCUGAAUACGUCCCUGCCCUUUGUACACACCGCCCGUCGCUCCUACCGAUUGAAUGGUCCGGUGAAAUCUUCGGAUUGAGACUUUGUUUUCUUCACGGAAAACGCUGUUUUAAAAAGUUGAUUAAACCUUACCAUUUAGAGGAAGGUGAAGUCGUAACA